rnacentral:rRNA from 1 species
GACGAACGCUGGCGGCGUGCUUAACACAUGCAAGUCGAACGGAAAGGCCCUGUUUUUGUGGGGUGCCCGGGUGGCGAGCGGGUGAGUAACACAUAAGUAACCUGCCCUUCACUUUCGGAUAACUACCCGCAACUAGGUCUAAUACCGACUAGGAGCUCUGGCUGCGUGGUGUGGGUUGGAUGGUUACGGUGGUUGGGGUUGGACUCGCGGCUUGUCAGUUUGUUCGCGGGGUAGUGGCUUGCCAGGGCUUUGAUGGGUAGCCGGGCUGAGAGGGGGACCGGCCCCCUGGGGACUGGGAUACGGCCCGGACUCGUACGGGAGGCAGCAGAGGGGGAGAUAGCACAAUGGGCGGACGCCUGGUGCAGCAACGCCGCGUGCGGGAUGACGGCCUUCUGGUUGUAAGCCGCUGUCGCGUGUGAUGAAGCUGGAUUGACGGUAACGGGUAAAGAAGCACCGGCUAACUACGUG